rnacentral:hammerhead_ribozyme from 1 species
GCAUUGCUGAAGAGACCCAACCAGAUCGAAACUGCUGUCCAGUAC